rnacentral:lncRNA from 1 species
CCCCCGGCGGGGAGAACUCCGCGGCUGCCGGGAGCGCUCCGCUGUCCCCCGGGCACCCUCAGCCACCGCGGGCUGGGAGUGAGAGCAGGAAAGCGAAAGUUGCCUCCCGGCGAGGUGGAGCAGUGGCAUCGUUUCAUUGGAAAUUUGUGUUACUUGAUACUACAACUGCCCUGGGAGAACUAGGAUGGAAAACAUUUCCCUUAAAUGGGGUAAGUCUCUCAUCAUUUUGGUUUUUUUUGGUCUGGAUUUUGGCAUUCUGACACUCUGGAAGUGA